rnacentral:rRNA from 1 species
AGUGAACGCUGGCGGUAGGCCUAACACAUGCAAGUCGAACGGCAGCACAGUAAGAGCUUGCUCUUACGGGUGGCGAGUGGCGGACGGGUGAGGAAUACAUCGGAAUCUACUUUUUCGUGGGGGAUAACGUAGGGAAACUUACGCUAAUACCGCAUACGACCUACGGGUGAAAGCAGGGGAUCUUCGGACCUUGCGCGAUUGAAUGAGCCGAUGUCGGAUUAGCUAGUUGGCGGGGUAAAGGCCCACCAAGGCGACGAUCCGUAGCUGGUCUGAGAGGAUGAACAGCCACACUGGAACUGAGACACGGUCCAGACUCCUAAGGGAGGCAGCAGCGGGGAAUAUUGGAAAAUGGGCGCAAGCCUGAUCCAGCCAUACCGCGUGGGUGAAGAAGGCCUUCGGGUUGGAAAGCCCUUUUGUUGGGAAAGAAAAGCAGCAGGGUAAAAACCCGCUGUUCUGAAGGUAACCAAAGAAUAAGCAACGGCUAAAUUCGUG